GUACGCCUACGGGGCGCAGCAGUAGGGAAUUUUCGUCAAUGGGCGCAAGCCUGAACGAGCAAUGCCGCGUGAACGAGGAAGGUCUUCGGAUCGUAAAGUUCUGUUGAAGGGGAAAAAGAGCGGAGAGAGGAAAUGAACUCCGAUUGAUAUUACCCUUCGAGGAAGUCACGGCUAACUACGUGCCAGCAGCCGCGGUAAUACGUAGGUGGCGAGCGUUAUCCGGAAUGAUUGGGCGUAAAGGGUGCGUAGGCGGCCUGCUAAGUCUGGAGUGAAAGGUACCGGCUCAACCGGUACAUGUCCUGGAA
rnacentral:rRNA from 1 species